ACGCUCGACACCUACGGGAGGUAGCAGUGGGGGAUAUUGCACAAUGGGGGAAACCCUGAUGCAGCAACGCCGCGUGAAGGAAGAAGGUCUUCGGAUUGUAAACUUCUGUCCUCAGGGAAGAUAAUGACGGUACCUGAGGAGGAAGCUCCGGCUAACUACGUGCCAACAGCCGCGGUAAUCUGAGCGGGCUGGCAAGGC
rnacentral:rRNA from 1 species